rnacentral:misc_RNA from 1 species
AGUAUUGUUUUGCAAGACAGAAUGUCUACCGGAUACAACUAUUUUUAUUACUAUAGUCAUCAAAAGACCCCCUUGUUUUGUUGUCACUUCAAUCCGUUGACACAGACAUACAACUCAGACAUCAACACGUGUACCUCUCCCGGGGGAAGUGAUUAUCGUUAUUCAGAGCCAUGUUCUCUGAAACUGUCUGAGAGACUUCAACAAUACAGCAUUGCCUUUUACGUCAUGGCUUCACUGGCUUGUUUACUUGAGAUUUUAACAAUUAUCAUUCUAAGUAGAUUGAUAAAGAGUGAUUUGCCCCUAAAAGAAGAUCCAAUUUUGCUGAAAAUGAGAGUCCAUCCAACAACCAGGAGAAAAUUAAAGAAAGCCUCAGAAGAACAGAGAAAUGAGAAUCAGGAUACGUCUGAGGUGGAGGAAAAAGAACAAAAUGAACUCCCUCAAAUUUCUACAACAGAAAAUAUGAAUGGCACUGUUUUGGAGGAAAAUCAGGAUGAAAAAUCUGAGAAAAUAGAGAAGAAAAAAAGAAGACGAGGGGGUAAAGUGAAGCCAAUGUCCGAUAUACCAAAUCCGGUCCAAAGACCGUUGUCAAAGCUGCCUCCACUGCAGAUGCAGCGUAAUCCAUAGUAAUGGACCUGUGUCUAUUUGGAGAUUCGAUUUGUUUUAAAUGGUGUUGUUUGUAUCACAUCGAAAAUAUAUUCUAAAUGCAUCAUCCCAAAAUACUGUUGAGCUAUCUAAAAAUAAACACGUGACAUUUGUGUUUUAAAGCAGGGAUCAAACUCUGGUUGUGGACUUUGUGAUUUUUGACACACAUGCACUUGAUAAAGUGACAUUCGAUUGAUAUCCACAACGUAUUUUGAAAUAAACGUUUGCUUUUAUAUUUUUCCUUUAAAUUGUUUUUGAUUAACAUAUUUUCAAGUUCUUGUUUGCAUUUCUUUGAAUGAGUUUCAAUGUUUUGAUUGAUUAGUAUUUUAUUACAACUUAUUUUUAAAAUAUUCAAUUGGUCUGUAGAUGUUUGUUUUGUUAUCUUUUUAAUUUAAGAAUUGACAAUGUACUUUGCAUGUGUGAAAAAUUAACAGAUGUUUUGUUUUUACCAUAAAAUUAUGUCAUAUCAUUGUCUGUUACCCUAAAUAUGAAAAAGUUUUCAUGACGUAAAGUAUUUACUAAAAGUUUUUACUCACGAUG